AGGAUAAACGCUGGCGGCGUGCCUAAAACAUGCAAGUCGAACGGACCCUUCAGGGUUAGUGGCGAACGGCUGAGUAACACGUGGGUGACCUGCCUUCGAACGGGGGAUAACUGCCCGAAAGGGUGGCUAAUACCGCAGAUGUCAUUGAUUCGGUUCGGUGACUGAACUUCCGGGGUUCGGAGAGGGGCCUGCGUCCGAUUAGCUAGCUGGUGGGGUAAAGCCUACCAGGGCGACGAUCGGUAGCUGGUCUGAGAGGAUGAUCAGCCAGACUGGGACUGCGAGACGGCCCAGACUCCUACGGGAGGCAGCAGUUAGGAAUUUUGGGCAAUGGGCGAAAGCCUGACCCAGCAACGCCGCGUGGGCGAAGAAGGCCUUCGGGUCGUAAAGCCCGUUUUCCGAGGGGAAGAUAAUGACGGUACCCUGGGAAUCGAGCCCCGGCUAACUACGUACCAGCCAGCCGC
rnacentral:rRNA from 1 species